rnacentral:rRNA from 1 species
CCUACGGGAGGCAGCAGUAGGGAAUCUUGCGCAAUGGGCGAAAGCCUGACGCAGCGACGCCGCGUGCGGGAUGAAGGCCUUCGGGUUGUAAUCCGCUUUCAGUGGGGAAGAAGCGAGAGUGACGGUACCCACAGAAGAAGCCCCGGCCAACUACGUGCCAGCAGCCGCGGUAAUACGUAGGGGGCAAGCGUUGUCCGGAUUCACUGGGCGUAAAGAGCUCGUAGGCGGCUACGGAAGUCGGGUGUGAAAGCCCGGGGCUCAACCCCGGGACGCCAUUCGAUACUCCGUGGGCUAGAGGACGGUAGAGGGAGAUGGAAUUCCUGGUGUAGCGGUGAAAUGCACAGAUAUCAGGAGGAACACCAGCGGCGAAGGCGGUCUCCUGGGCCGAUCCUGACGCUGAGGAGCGAAAGCUAGGGGAGCGAACAGGAUUAGAUACCCCUGUAGU